rnacentral:lncRNA from 1 species
GAGUGAAGAGGUGCCAGAAUCCGCGAAGAGGGUCGACGAAUGCGCUGCCGCGGAGGUGGGCCAAAUAAUCAUGGCAACAGGACUUUUAGAAGCACGUCCUCUGAAAGCCAUUUUCUGCCUGUGGUUGGAAAGGGACUGUGAGUCUUUCCUCAGGAAGUCAGUAGCCCUACCUGGUGAGGUGAUCAAGAGUUUGCUAGCACAAGAGAUGAAGCAACAAUGGCCAUGAGGGAUUCAAGGAUUAUGCGUCUCUGCACCCUACAAUACACCAACUGGCAGUUCCAUCAUUUGAAAGAAAAUCUUCAAGGAACUGCUGCGGAGACCUUGGGUUCACCAUUCAG